GCUCAGAUUGAACGCUGGCGGCAGGCCUAACACAUGCAAGUCGAACGGUAACAGGAAACAGCUUGCUGUUUCGCUGACGAGUGGCGGACGGGUGAGUAAUGUCUGGGAAACUGCCUGAUGGAGGGGGAUAACUACUGGAAACGGUAGCUAAUACCGCAUAACGUCGCAAGACCAAAGAGGGGGACCUUCGGGCCUCUUGCCAUCAGAUGUGCCCAGAUGGGAUUAGCUAGUAGGUGGGGUAACGGCUCACCUAGGCGACGAUCCCUAGCUGGUCUGAGAGGAUGACCAGCCACACUGGAACUGAGACACGGUCCAGACUCCUACGGGAGGCAGCAGUGGGGAAUAUUGCACAAUGGGCGCAAGCCUGAUGCAGCCAUGCCGCGUGUAUGAAGAAGGCCUUCGGGUUGUAAAGUACUUUCAGCGGGGAGGAAGGGAGUAAAGUUAAUACCUUUGCUCAUUGACGUUACCCGCAGAAGAAGCACCGGCUAACUCCGUGCCAGCAGCCGCGGUAAUACGGAGGGUGCAAGCGUUAAUCGGAAUUACUGGGCGUAAAGCGCACGCAGGCGGUUUGUUAAGUCAGAUGUGAAAUCCCCGGGCUCAACCUGGGAACUGCAUCUGAUACUGGCAAGCUUGAGUCUCGUAGAGGGGGGUAGAAUUCCAGGUGUAGCGGUGAAAUGCGUAGAGAUCUGGAGGAAUACCGGUGGCGAAGGCGGCCCCCUGGACGAAGACUGACGCUCAGGUGCGAAAGCGUGGGGAGCAAACAGGAUUAGAUACCCUGGUAGUCCACGCCGUAAACGAUGUCGACUUGGAGGUUGUGCCCUUGAGGCGUGGCUUCCGGAGCUAACGCGUUAAGUCGACCGCCUGGGGAGUACGGCCGCAAGGUUAAAACUCAAAUGAAUUGACGGGGGCCCGCACAAGCGGUGGAGCAUGUGGUUUAAUUCGAUGCAACGCGAAGAACCUUACCUGGUCUUGACAUCCACGGAAGUUUUCAGAGAUGAGAAUGUGCCUUCGGGAACCGUGAGACAGGUGCUGCAUGGCUGUCGUCAGCUCGUGUUGUGAAAUGUUGGGUUAAGUCCCGCAACGAGCGCAACCCUUAUCCUUUGUUGCCAGCGGUCCGGCCGGGAACUCAAAGGAGACUGCCAGUGAUAAACUGGAGGAAGGUGGGGAUGACGUCAAGUCAUCAUGGCCCUUACGACCAGGGCUACACACGUGCUACAAUGGCGCAUACAAAGAGAAGCGACCUCGCGAGAGCAAGCGGACCUCAUAAAGUGCGUCGUAGUCCGGAUUGGAGUCUGCAACUCGACUCCAUGAAGUCGGAAUCGCUAGUAAUCGUGGAUCAGAAUGCCACGGUGAAUACGUUCCCGGGCCUUGUACACACCGCCCGUCACACCAUGGGAGUGGGUUGCAAAAGAAGUAGGUAGCUUAACCUUCGGGAGGGCGCUUACCACUUUGUGAUUCAUGACUGGGGUGAAGUCGUAACAAGGUAACCGUAGGGGAACCUGCGGUUG
rnacentral:rRNA from 1 species